rnacentral:rRNA from 1 species
CAGGCCUUGACAUGCACUAGACCGACUCUGAAAGGAGUCUUCCCUUCGGGGCUGGUGCACAGGUGCUGCAUGGCUGUCGUCAGCUCGUGUCGUGAGAUGUUGCGUUAAGUCGCGCAACGAGCGCAACCCCUGUCCUUAGUUGCCAUCAGGUAAAGCUGGGCACUCUAGGGAGACAAACCCUCUUUGAGGGUGGGAAGGUGGGGAUGACGUCAAGUCAGGAUGGCCCUUACGGCCUGGGCUGCACACGUGCUACAAUGCUCGGUGCAGAGGGACGCAAGACCGCGAGGUGGAGCAAAUCCCAAAAACCGAGCCCAGUUCAGAUUGCAGUCUGCAACUCGACUGCAUGAAGCCGGAAUCGCUAGUAAUGGCGUAUCAGCUACGACGCCGUGAAUA